rnacentral:rRNA from 1 species
GUAGCGAAAUUCCUUGUCGGGUAAGUUCCGACCUGCACGAAUGGCGUAACGACUUCCCCGCUGUCUCCAACAUCGACUCAGCGAAAUUGAAUUGCCUGUCAAGAUGCAGGCUUCCCGCGGUUAGACGGAAAGACCCCGUGCACCUUUACUACAGCUUCGCACUGGCAUCAGGAUUGUGAUGUGCAGGAUAGGUGGUAGGCUUUGAAGCGGUGACGCCAGUCAUCGUGGAGCCUCCCUUGAGAUACCACCCUUCGCACUCUUGAUGUCUAACCGCGGUCCGUUAUCCGGAUCCGGGACCCUGCGUGGCGGGUAGUUUGACUGGGGCGGUCGCCUCCUAAAGCGUAACGGAGGCGCGCGAAGGUUGGCUCAGAGCGGUCGGAAAUCGCUCGUUGAGUGCAAUGGCAGAAGCCAGCCUGACUGCAAGACUGACAAGUCGAGCAGAGUCGAAAGACGGCCAUAGUGAUCCGGUGGUCCCAAGUGGGAGGGCCAUCGCUCAACGGAUAAAAGGUACGCCGGGGAUAACAGGCUGAUACUGCCCAAGAGUCCAUAUCGACGGCAGUGUUUGGCACCUCGAUGUCGGCUCAUCUCAUCCUGGGGCUGGAGCAGGUCCCAAGGGUACGGCUGUUCGCCGUUUAAAGAGGUACGUGAGCUGGGUUUAGAACGUCGUGAGACAGUUCGGUCCCUAUCUGCCGUGGGUGUAGGAUACUUGAGAGGAGUUGCCCCUAGUACGAGAGGACCGGGGUGAACGAUCCACUGGUGGACCUGUUGUGGCGCCAGCCGCAGUGCAGGGUAGCUAUGAUCGGAAAGGAUAACCGCUGAAGGCAUCUAAGCGGGAAGCCCCCCUCAAAACAAGGUAUCCCUGAGGGCCGUGGUAGACCACCACGUCGAUAGGCCGGAGGUGUAAGCGCAGCAAUGCGUUCAGCUGACCGGUACUAAU